rnacentral:sRNA from 1 species
GAACGAGAACAGGCGUUUAUCCCUGGCCUAACUACACUUGCAUUUUCAGAUAAAGCUAUCUUACAACCUCUCUCUUUGCAAAGGGCUGAAAUGGCAUGUGACUGUGAGGAAGUUAUCAAACGACCCCCCCAAAGAAUUAUUGCUACGAGAAGUUAGGUUACCAGCACAUGCAACUCGAAAUUUUGAUGAACAUAUUUGAUAAUCGCUGUCAUUGAUUGGUUGUGCAAUAAUAUCUCACUCUUUAAAUGAACUGCAUUUUUGGUGGUGGAUUGGGUGGAGCUUUUGAUCUCCAGAUCCGGAUCCUGUACUUGCCCUGAUUAUUCCUGGGAAUACGAGUAACUAUGGGUCAAAUGCAAUGCCUAACUUGGCGAUGAUUGGCCAUGGUCUGGACUGUAAGGUCUUUCGAGACCCAAAAGACCACACCUUGGCUUCGCGAGUCCCCCGCAUUGAUUGACAUGUUGCGAGACAUAAUUGAGGGUCCCAUCUACGAGUACAUGACACUCAUUAACGAACACGUUUCAGUUGAUGUCACUUCUUGACCUUGAGCUACUAAAAAGACUUUCAUUGUCCCCUCUGCUGUCUGAAUAGUGCAGCGAAUACCUAA